rnacentral:rRNA from 1 species
CUGGGGAGUACGGCCGCAAAGGUAAAACUCAAAUGAAAUGACGGGGGCCCGCACAAGCGGUGGAGCAUGUGGUUUAAUUCGAUGCAACGCGAAGAGCCUUACCUACUCUUGACAUCCAGAGAAUUUAGCAGAGAUGCUUUAGUGCCUUCGGGAACUAUGAGACAGGUGCUGCAUGGCUGUCGUCAGCUCGUGUUGUGAAAUGUUUGGUUAAGUCCCGCAACGAGCGCAACCCUUAUCCUUUGUUGCCAGCACAUUAUGGUGGGAACUCAAAGGAGACUGCCGGUGAUAAACCGGAGGAAGGUGGGGAUGACGUCAAGUCAUCAUGGCCCUUACGAGUAGGGCUACACACGUGCUACAAUGGCGUAUACAAAGAGAAGCGACCUCGCGAGAGCAAGCGGAACUCAUAAAGUACGUCGUAGUCCGGAUUGGAGUCUGCAACUCGACUCCAUGAAGUCGGAAUCGCUAGUAAUCGUAGAUCAGAAUGCUACGGUGAAUACGUUCCCGGGCCUUGUACACACCGCCCGUCACACCAUGGGAGUGGGUUGCAAAAGAAGUAGGUAGCUUAACCUUCGGGAGGGCGCUUACCACUUUGUGAUUCAUGACUGGGGUGAAGUCGUAACAAGGUAACCA